rnacentral:lncRNA from 12 species
CCUUCUUCCAGCCCUACAUCCCAGAGGAGCACGGACAGGGGCUGGACAGGGAUGUUCAAUUCCCUCUUGUCCAGCCCCACAUCCCUCAGGGAUCCAGACCAUGAAGAGGGGCUGGAGAGGAAUGCUCAGCUCCUUCUUCCAGCCCUACAUCCCAUAGGAGCAUGGACAGGGACUGGACAGGGAUGCUCAUCUCUCCCCUGUCCAGCCCUACAUCGCACAGGAGCACGGACAGGGACUGGAAAUGGAUGCUCAAUUCCCUCUUGCCCAGCCUGACAUCCCAUUGGACCCAGAGCACGGACAGGGGCUGGAGUGGGGGUCAGAUCCCUCCUGUCCAGCCCUUCGUCACACAGGGAUCCAGAGCAUUUUCCUCCUGUUCUCUCCACCCUGUGCAUUCCCUGCUCCAUCCUGUGCCCCCCCCCCCCCCCCCCCCCCCCCCUGCUCCACCCUGUGCAUUCCCUGCUCCAUCCUGUGCCUCCCCUGCUCCACCCUGUGCCUCCCCUGCUCCAUCCUGUGCAUUCCCUGCUCCACCCUGGGCAUUCCCUGCUCCACCCUGUGCCUUCCCUGCUCCACCCUGUGCCUCCCCUGCUCCACCCUGUGCAUUCCCUGCUCCACCCUGUGCCUUCCCUGCUCCAUCCUGUGCAUUCCCUGCUCCAUCCCACCCUCUUUCCAGCCUCUCUCCACCCCAGAGCCCAGCACGGAGAUCAGGAGAGUUUCCCUGCCACCGCACCAGACCCAGGCAGACCCAAACCCCCAAUUCUGCUCCAACCCUCCCCUUUCCAUGCGCUCGGGGCGGGGUCUCGAUGCCCCGCCCGCCCCCCGGGCCCCCGGUGCCCGGUGCGGUGCUGGCCCGGCCCGGGAGUCUCCCGGGAGCCACGGCCCCCCCCCCCCCCCCCCCCCCCCCCCCCCCCCCCCCCCCCCCCCCCCCCCCGCCCGGGAGUCUCCCGGGAGCCACGGCCGUGGGUUAGUGCUGGGUCCGGCGGCGUGAGCGAGGCAGUGAGGAGACAAGCCGGCCAUUAGUGGGUUAAAUCAGAGAAGGAAAAGCAGAAGUGAGUCGAGAAGAGGAGGAAGGCGGUGAGAGCGCAGCCCCGUGGAGCUGUUACCUUCCGUCCUUGGGCUGUGGCCACCGCGGCUCCGCUGGGCCAGCAGCCGGAGUGGCCCGGGGACACGGCCUCGAGGGGGAGGGGAGGGGAGGCAGAGCUCCGCUGAAACACCUGGGGAGUCAAACACGGCCCGUUGGAGGGAGGGGGGCAGCCCGGGGCUGCGGCGGGGCUCGGGGUGGCCACGGCCCCCCCCCCCCCCCCCCCCCCCCCCCCCCCCCCGGGGCUCGGGGUGGCCACGGCCCCGGGAUGGGGGUGGCUGUGCGCUGGUGGCGUUGGCCACUGGGCUGCUGGCAGGGUCACUGGUCACCUGGCCAGGAGUGUCACUGGUCACCUGGCCAGGAGACUCGCUGAGCCUCCAAGUCAGCAGGGUCACUGGUCACCUGGCCAGCAGGGUCAGUGGUCGCCUGGCCAGGAGUGUCACUGGUCCUCCGGCCAGCAGGGUCACUGGUCCAGUCUGGCAGCAUCACUGGUUCAGCUCUCCUGCCUGCAGCAUCAUCGCCUGUGCCACACCUGCACCAUCACCUGUCCCCUGCACCAUCACUGGUGUCACCUCCACCAUCCCCCCCCCCCCCCCCCCCCCCCCCCCCCCCCCCCCCCCCCCCCCCCCCCCCCCCCCCCCCCCCCCCCCCCCCCCCCCCCCCCCCCCUGCACCAUCACCUGUCCCUUGCACCAUCACCUGUCUCACACCUGCACCAUGCCCAGUUCUCCCUCCUGGGGGAAAACCACCCAGGUUAAACCACCCAGGUUAAAACCAUCCAGGUUAAAACCAUCCAGGUUAAAACCACUCCCUCCCCACUGGAGCACCUGAGCUGUGCUCAGCCGGGUGAGUCUGCCUUAAAACCAGAGGGAGCUCCCAGGGGUGCAUCACCUGUCCCUGGAGGUGUCACCGCUCUGUCCCUGCGGCCCCGGGAGGAGCAGGAACCCCCACGUGGUGCCAGUGCUGGGAAUGUCACAGAUGUCACACCCCAAACCCCCUGAGCUGUCCCCAGAGUGGAAGGGCAGGGUGCUGUCACCUCUGGGGUGCUGUCACCUCCAGGAUGCUGUCACCUCCAGCCCCCCCCCCCCCCCCCCCCCCCCCCCCCCCCCCCCCCUGAGCUGGCCCCAGAGUGGAAGGGCAGGGUGCUGUCACCUCUGGGGUGCUGUCACCAUUGGGGUGCUGUCACCUUUCAGGUGCUGUCACCAUUGGGGUGCUGUCACCUUUGAGGUGCUGUCACCUUUGGGGUGCUCUCACCUCCAGGUUGGGGUGCUGUCACCUCUUGGGUGCUGUCACCUCUGCGCUGCUGUCACCUUUAGGGUGCUGUCACCUCGGGGGUGCUGUCACCUCUGGGAUGGUGCUGCCUUGGGGGUGCUAUCACCUCCAGGAUGCUGUGCUGUCACCUUUGAGGUGCUGUCACCUCGGGGGUGCUGUCACCUGCGGUGCCACCCCGCCCUCCCGCGCUCACCUCCAGCUCCGCGAUGAUCCGAUCCUCGUCGUCGUCGUCCUUGACGGCCGAGGCGAUGAUGGGCGGGGUGGACGCGGGCCGGGCCACCUCGGCACCUGCGGCUUCUGCGGCUCCAGCUCCUCCGACUCCGCCUUCUGCGGGCGGGGGGAGAGCGGCCGUGAGCGCCGGGGGCAGCGGGGGGACACGGAGGGGGGCAUUGAGAGGC